AUUGAACGCUGGCGGCAGGCCUAACACAUGCAAGUCGAGCGGGGUUUUCGGACCUAGCGGCGGACGGGUGAGUAAUGCGUAGGAAGCUACCCGAUAGAGGGGGAUACCAGUUGGAACGACUGUUAAUACCGCAUAAUGUCUACGGACCAAAGUGUGGGACCUUCGGGCCACAUGCUAUCGGAUGCGCCUACGUGGGAUUAGCUAGUUGGUGGGGUAAUGGCUCACCAAGGCGACGAUCCCUAGCUGGUUUGAGAGGAUGAUCAGCCACACUGGAACUGAGACACGGUCCAGACUCCUACGGGAGGCAGCAGUGGGGAAUAUUGGACAAUGGGCGCAAGCCUGAUCAGCCAUGCCGCGUGU
rnacentral:rRNA from 1 species